GGUACACAGAUAUAUACACGGUUUAGACAUGAACAUAACGUUCCAACAUUUUGACCCAAACUCAUUUUAAUUCAGCCUGUUGAAGCUAAACACACACACACACACACACACACACACACACACUCUUCUCCUGCUGUGAGCUGUUAUUUUAGCAGAAGCAUCACGCCCUCCUCCACCCUGGUCACCCCCAGUGAACUCAGCUGGUUUCCUGUAAAUGCAGAGGGGCGGGGCUACACUGAACAGGUGAUCCAGGUACAUGAGGACAGGGAGGAACCCUGACACUGACGUGUUCAGACGGCUCAGACUCCAUGUUGAGUGGACGGAGCAGAAGGAGGAAACGUGAAGGCUGAGGCAGGUUUCAGUGCAUCACAUGCAGUCAAACAUCCUGUGGUCUACAGUGACCUCUAGUGAUGAAACUGGAAACUAACACACAACAUGUUUCCCCCUUUGUGUAGGCAGCUUACACAGUAAAGUAAAGGGGCUGAGGAGAAUGAGCAUUUGAGUGAAACAUCUCAGAAACCCAGGGGCAUUUUAAUCUGGUCUGGUCUUUGAUGCACGGUGCAUCAAGAGAGGAAAAUAUCUGCUUCUGGACUGUCAUGGGGAAACUGGACAAAUAUGUUUCAUAGAGAGGAAGAGGAGUGAUGUUUGUGUGGAGGAGCAGCUGUCCUGCUGUGCUUUGUGUCAGGACGUCCUGAGGGAUCAAGUCUCUACCAGCUGUGGACACUGGUUCUGCAGACAGUGCAUCACCUCAUACUGGGACCAGUCUGCUUCAUCAGGAGACUCCUCCUGUCCCCAGUGUGGACAAAGAUCCAGAACAAGAGCUGGACUGCAGACAGCCAGUCAGACCAACACUG